AUUGAACGCUGGCGGCAGGCCUAACACAUGCAAGUCGAGCGCGCGGCGGACGGGUGAGUAAUGUCUGGGAAACUGCCCGAUGGGGGGGGAUAACAACUGGAAACGGUAGCUAAUACCGCAUACCAUCAGAUGUGCCCAGAUGGGAUUAGCUGGGAGGUGGGGUAACGGCUCACCUAGGCGACGAUCCCUAGCUGGUCUGAGAGGAUGACCAGCCACACUGGAACUGAGACACGGUCCAGACUCCUACGGGAGGCAGCAGUGGGGAAUAUUGCACAAUGGGCGCAAGCCUGAUGCAGCCAUGCCGCGUGUGUGAAGAAGGCCUUCGGGUUGUAAAGCACUUUCAGCGGGGAGGCGUUACCCGCAGAAGAAGCACCGGCUAACUCCGUGUCAGCAGCCGCGGUAAUAC
rnacentral:rRNA from 1 species